ACCCUGGUGGUCCAACGGAUCACGACACCACCCUCCGAAGGUGGGGAUCCAGGUUCGACUCCUGGCCGGGGUAC
rnacentral:tRNA from 1 species